AUGUAAUUACAAUUAUUAAUAAGUUACACAAACUGAUAAUAAUAAUUCUCUGAAGAAAUGGUAAGAAUUAUAGGUUAUGUUUACGACAGAGAGUUUUAUCAGUUUUUAUUUUGACUAAUGAAUUUUUAUUGCAGUUGUGUACCUAUCGUACCUAUAUUUGCAUAUAUCUUGACACAUUCAAAACAUAACCUAAAAUUUUGCUCCUUUCUUCUUUGAACGAGUUUUUAUUGAAAGUUGAAUCAAGAAAUUUUUAAUUAUUAAAAGUCAUAUAAGAAAUAAUAUUAGCCUGAAUUCGAUUUUACUAGUUUGAAACUUUCGAAGAAAUGUCAGUGUUUUACCGUUUCUAAUUUCCCUUUCGGAAUAGUAAUGAAAUAGAAUAGCAUCCUCCUAUGUAUUAAAAAAAAAACGAUAUUCAUUUAAGAGAAACGGAAACAAUAGAGAUGACCAAAGUUCGAUAAUAAUUUUUGUAUUGUCCCAGAUAUAUAUUUCUCUUAUUUAGAGAUUGUGUCGGUUAAUUUAUCAUAUAGGUUGAGUUCAAUCGUUUGCCAUAUGGACUCUAUAAUACAAUGCAAACAUUAGCAUCAUGCUUCAGCAGUGUUCGUCAUCAUGUUUAUAGGAGAAAGUAGAAUAAUUGUGUCUUUUUGGAAUAAGUAUAUAAAAGACGCUCGACUUUCUUUGUUUCUAUUUUCAAUCUCGAGGGUAUGCAUUAUUCUAUUAUAUUAUAUAUAAAGGAAUACGAAAUUAGAGAAAAGUGGUUCACAAUUACGGUAAGUCGCCUUCAAGUUCAUUGAAUUAAUAUAAAUUUUAAAUAUGAAAAACUUUUUGACAUUACGAAAAAGAAGAAAUCGUUAAUUGGAUUUGAUGACAAUUAUCUGAAAGAAGCGUUGUGAAUUCUUGCAAGUUCGCGGCCUGAUGUUGAGAGAGGAGGCAAUACAACGUGCCCAUUUAGUCAUUAUAUGCUUACGGUUUUAGUUGAAGGAACCUCGAGGAAAGUAUAUACAAGAACCGUGAGAAUGUAGGUGAAAUGUCUUAACGAAUGGAAUGUAUAGAGGUGCGAGAUACAAUUAUAUAUAUCGAACCUUCAAUUGCUAAUCAAGUUCAAGAAAAAUGUUCAAAACACCAUCCCACUGUCCUUAAUAUUAUCAUGAAAGAAACGAGGUAUAAGGUAUUUCACCUGUAUAUAUAUAUAAGCAAAGUGUCUGUGAAUGUAUAUGUUCCGUCUCUUGAGGCGGUAACGGCAGACUUAACGGGACACCAUUCCAGCCCAAUAUUUAUUCUUUUCACUGGAAUUCACGUCAUUGAAAAGUACCACGCGCUUUUGUCGAUCAUAUGUUGUCAGCAUUGAUCAAGAGAUAAUAUAUAACUUCUAGGUCCAGGACAACAUUAUCUGAACAUAAUAUAAUAUCGUUGGCUGCGGAACUGAUUGUUAAUGUAAUAUAUAUUGUUUAGGUCAAGCAUCAUAUAAGUGGAACACUGAUGGAGCUAUUAAUUAAAAAUAUCGGAAAUUACUGAAAUUAAAAAAAAAAAAAUUAAUAUGGAUUUGUAAUAAAAAUUUAACUGGGAAAAUUACAACAAGAAGCGAAAUUUGCCAGUUUAAUAAUUGAUAAAUAAUUAUAAAUCGGCGAUCGUAUACUGAAAAAAAAAUUUAUAUGAUUCGAUUAAUUUAAAAUAAAUAAAUACUUAUUUUACCCAAAUAAUAAUUGUUUAAAAAUAAAUAUUUAUUUCACAAAUAAUAAUUGUUUAGUGCAAAUAAAUAUUUGACUCAAAUAAUAAUUAUUUAAUACCAAUAAAUAUUUAUUUGAAUAAUUAUUCAAUACAAAUAAAUAUUUAUUUGAAUAAUAGUGUAAAAUUAUCAAAAACUUGACUCCAAAAGAAAAUUGUAUUUUAAGGAAAAAAAGGAAGUUCUAUUUUAGUAAAAACUAGACUCCAAAAAGAAAAUUGUAUUUUAAGGGAAAAGGAAGUCCUAUUUUAGCAAAAUUUGUAAAACUAUUCAAUUUCCGAGAUAGAUUUUUAUAAACCUUCGUCAGCACUUUACAUAUGUACUAAAUUUAAAAUUUCUGAUUCACAGCGUUAUACUACUUAUUCCAAUUAGCUUAUAUGCGCUAAUUAGUCCUGUUAUCGUUAUUUCAGAUUUAGAGAAUAAUAAAAAGAUUAUGUCUGAAUUAGAAAAUUUUUAGUCUUAAUUUUGUAAUUUGUAAAAUUUCAUUCUAUUUUUAAUUAAUUAUAUUAUCACGUAGAUAAAAUGAAACUAUCAAAAAAAAACCUGCGUAGAAAGUAGAUUAAUUUUUUUUAAAAAAAAUUUAAUUUAUAAAAAUUUGUUAUUUAUCUAAAAACCAAAGGCGUGGUAAUUAAACAACAUUUUAUAAUUGCGAUCGUAAUUUUAAAGAAAUUUUCUAAUGGUGCAGAAAUUUUUCUUUUUCGCACAUUUAAUGGGCGGAUUUGAAAAAAAAAUUAAACAUCACGCAAACUGAAUUUAGAAGCGGUGUCAUAAAGAUAAUAUUUAAUGAAUUAUUUUCAUCUUAUUUCGUGACACUUUCACGAUUAACUCGGCUGGGCGAAAGUCUAAUGACGAAAUAACGACGAUAUCAUUGACGUUUCUUUCAAUAUAUAUAGAAAAACUAAAUCUUUUUCUGUAAGAAAAAUUGUAAUUCAAAAUCAAAUUAAAUUUUUUUUUUUUUAAUUUUUCUUAUUUAAAUUAAGCUUCUUAGUUAAAAUAUUAUUUUUAUAUACAAGAGCAAUAAUUGACGCCUAUUGUCUUAUGAAAUUUCACUGAAUCUUCAAUUUUCACGAAAUGGAAAGUGAUGGUAUAUAUAAAAUUUUAUAAUAUUAGACACAGUUUUCUGCAACAAUAAUAAUGUGCCCGUAGGUACGGAUGCGUACUUUAUUUGCGUGCAGGUCAUGCAACGUUGUUAGCUUUCUCCUCUUGUCAUAUUCAUUUUGACAGGGUUAUUGCUCUUUAUGCAUAUGUGAGCUCUUAUAUGUUUGUUCACUUUGUAGAAACGUUUUUUUUUUAGUCCAUGCGAUAACACAUUCAUUGAAACUUGGAUUUUUUUUUUCAAACGAUUUCUAACUAUUUUUGACCUCUAUUAAAAAUUUUAUUUAACAUGCAUAUUGAAAAUUGUUGCAUUAAACAAAAAUAAAUAAAAUAAAAAAUAUAACAAAAAAAAAUUUAAAAAAUUAAAAAAAAAAUAUUUAGAAAAAAUAAUCUAGUUUCCUGAAGAGAAACUAAAAAAAAAAAAUGGGUGUAUUAUUAUGAAAUUGCAUAUGGAAAAAAAAGAAGGAUGUCAAAAGGAUUUUUAAGAUCAUAUCUUUUUGUUAAAAGUGGACGCACACAGUGACUUUUGAAAGCUAUACCAUAGAUCGUAUUUAAGUCGUUCUUGUAUACCCGGAUAGAAAGUGUUUUUUUUUUAAGAAGCUCCCGAUGACUGUUCAUUUGAAAUGCUCGCACGUAAAAGUUACAGCGACACGUAAUUUCCUUCAUUGACAAUAUUCUAUUCUAGGCUAAUACACUUUGGUAAUGAUUAAUAUUUUAGAAAGCAAAAGUUUCAACUCUUUUGUGUUUUAUAUAAUUGAUCUUUUUUUUUUUAUUGCUUCCCAGAGUAUAUAUUAUAGAGAUUCUAAAAAAAAAAAAUUAGAGAAGAAAAAAUAUUCGUUUCC